rnacentral:rRNA from 1 species
GUGGGGAAUAUUGGACAAUGGGCGAAAGCCUGAUCCAGCCAUGCCGCGUGUGUGAAGAAGGUCUUCGGAUUGUAAAGCACUUUAAGUUGGGAGGAAGGGCAGUAAGUUAAUACCUUGCUGUUUUGACGUUACCGACAGAAUAAGCACCGGCUAACUUCGUGCCAGCAGCCGCGGUAAUACGAAGGGUGCAAGCGUUAAUCGGAAUUACUGGGCGUAAAGCGCGCGUAGGUGGUUUUGUAAGUUGGAGGUGAAAUCCCCGGGCUCAAACUGGGAGCUGCCUCCAAAACUGCAUGACUAGAGUACGGUAGAGGGUAGUGGAAUUUCCUGUGUAGCGGUGAAAUGCGUAGAUAUAGGAAGGAACACCAGUGGCGAAGGCGACUACCUGGACUGAUACUGACACUGAGGUGCGAAAGCGUGGGGAGCAAACAGGAUUAGAAACCCUUGUAGUCC